AUACGGAGGGCGCAAGCGUUGUUCGGAAUCAUUGGGCGUAAAGCGCGUGUAGGCGGCUUGGCAAGUCGGGUGUGAAAGCCCGGGGCUCAACCCCGGAACGGCACUCGAAACUGCCAAGCUAGAGUCCCGGAGAGGAAGGCGGAAUUCCCGGUGUAGAGGUGAAAUUCGUAGAUAUCGGGAGGAACACCAGCGGCGAAGGCGGCCUUCUGGACGGUGACUGACGCUGAGACGCGAAAGCGUGGGGAGCAAACAGGAUUAGAAACCCGUGUAGUCC
rnacentral:rRNA from 1 species